UACGUAGGUGACAAGCGUUGUCCGGAUUUACUGGGCGUAAAGCGUGCGCAGGCGGUUCGCCAAGUCCGGUGUGAAAUCCCCGGGCUUAACCUGGGAAUUGCGCUUGAAACUAGCGGGCUUGAGUGUGGCAGAGGGGGGUGGAAUUCCACGUGUAGCAGUGAAAUGCGUAGAGAUGUGGAGGAACACCGAUGGCGAAGGCAGCCCCCUGGGUCAACACUGACGCUCAUGCACGAAAGCGUGGGGAGCAAAAGGG
rnacentral:rRNA from 1 species